GAGAGGAUGACCAGCCACACUGGAACUGAGACACGGUCCAGACUCCUACGGGAGGCAGCAGUGGGGAAUAUUGCACAAUGGGCGCAAGCCUGAUGCAGCCAUGCCGCGUGUAUGAAGAAGGCCUUCGGGUUGUAAAGUACUUUCAGCGGGGAGGAAGGUGUUGUGGUUAAUAACCGCAGCAAUUGACGUUACCCGCAGAAGAAGCACCGGCUAACUCCGUGCCAGCAGCCGCGGUAAUACGGAGGGUGCAAGCGUUAAUCGGAAUUACUGGGCGUAAAGCGCACGCAGGCGGUCUGUCAAGUCGGAUGUGAAAUCCCCGGGCUCAACCUGGGAACUGCAUUCGAAACUGGCAGGCUUGAGUCUUGUAGAGGGGGGUAGAAUUCCAGGUGUAGCGGUGAAAUGCGUAGAGAUCUGGAGGAAUACCGGUGGCGAAGGCGGCCCCCUGGACAAAGACUGACGCUCAGGUGCGAAAGCGUGGGGAGCAAACAGGAUUAGAUACC
rnacentral:rRNA from 1 species